rnacentral:rRNA from 1 species
UAAGGCGAGGCCGAAAGGCGUAGUCGAUGGGAAACGGGUUAAUAUUCCCGUACUUGGUGUUACUGCGAAGGGGGGACGGAGAAGGCUAUGUUGGCCGGGCGACGGUUGUCCCGGUUUAAGCGUGUAGGUGUGUGUUCCAGGUAAAUCCGGUUCACUUUAACACUGAGGCGUGACGACGAGGCACUACGGUGCUGAAGCAACAAAUGCCCUGCUUCCAGGAAAAGCCUCUAAGCAUCAGGUAACAUCAAAUCGUACCCCAAACCGACACAGGUGGUCAGGUAGAGAAUACCAAGGCGCUUGAGAGAACUCGGGUGAAGGAACUAGGCAAAAUGGUGCCGUAACUUCGGGAGAAGGCACGCUGACACGUAGGUGAAGUGAUUUACUCAUGGAGCUGAAGUCAGUCGAAGAUACCAGCUGGCUGCAACUGUUUAUUAAAAACACAGCACUGUGCAAACACGAAAGUGGACGUAUACGGUGUGACGCCUGCCCGGUGCCGGAAGGUUAAUUGAUGGGGUCAGCGCAAGCGAAGCUCCUGAUCGAAGCCCCGGUAAACGGCGGCCGUAACUAUAACGGUCCUAAGGUAGCGAAAUUCCUUGUCGGGUAAGUUCCGACCUGCACGAAUGGCGUAAUGAUGGCCAGGCUGUCUCCACCCGAGACUCAGUGAAAUUGAACUCGCUGUGAAGAUGCAGUGUACCCGCGGCAAGACGGAAAGACCCCGUGAACCUUUACUAUAGCUUGACACUGAACAUUGAGCCUUGAUGUGUAGGAUAGGUGGGAGGCUUUGAAGUGUGGACGCCAGUCUGCAUGGAGCCGACCUUGAAAUACCACCCUUUAAUGUUUGAUGUUCUAACGUGGACCCGUUACCCGGGUUGCGGACAGUGUCUGGUGGGUAGUUUGACUGGGGCGGUCUCCUCCUAAAGAGUAACGGAGGAGCACGAAGGUUGGCUAAUCCUGGUCGGACAUCAGGAGGUUAGUGCAAUGGCAUAAGCCAGCUUGACUGCGAGCGUGACGGCGCGAGCAGGUGCGAAAGCAGGUCAUAGUGAUCCGGUGGUUCUGAAUGGAAGGGCCAUCGCUCAACGGAUAAAAGGUACUCCGGGGAUAACAGGCUGAUACCGCCCAAGAGUUCAUAUCGACGGCGGUGUUUGGCACCUCGAUGUCGGCUCAUCACAUCCUGGGGCUGAAGUAGGUCCCAAGGGUAUGGCUGUUCGCCAUUUAAAGUGGUACGCGAGCUGGGUUUAGAACGUCGUGAGACAGUUCGGUCCCUAUCUGCCGUGGGCGCUGGAGAACUGAGGGGGGCUGCUCCUAGUACGAGAGGACCGGAGUGGACGCAUCACUGGUGUUCGGGUUGUCAUGCCAAUGGCACUGCCCGGUAGCUAAAUGCGGAAGAGAUAAGUGCUGAAAGCAUCUAAGCACGAAACUUGCCCCGA